rnacentral:ncRNA from 1 species
CUCUUCAGGGCAAGGUGAAAAUCCUGACCGGUGGUAAUGGAGCAUGCUUCUAGCCCACGAGCCGAAUGGCAGAUCCGGUGUGAUUCCGGAGCCGACAGUAAAGGAGAGCAAUCUCUCCGAAGUCUGGAUGAAAGAGGAG